rnacentral:snRNA from 1 species
GAGCUCACUUUGGCAGUACACAUACUAAAAUUGGAACAAUACAGAAAAGAUUAGCAUGGUGCCUGUGCAAGGAUAACACGCAAAUUUGUAAAAUGUUCCAUAUUUAU